AGGUGCCAACAUUUUGCUGUCAGUGGUGAAUUGCUGUUGUAUUAAUAGUUGCGAUACUUUCACAAUUGUAAUAAUUAUAUUUUAAUACAAUUGCAGUUGUAUUCUGGCUAUAGGCAUCAUGGCCAGGGGUGCUUCAUUGACUGUCACUUGUCCAGCUUCUGUCUGCUCUGCCAGUGCAAGCCUUAUGCUGCUGUAGCUUACACCGAGGGCAAGCAGCACGAGCGGCUGAAACUACGGCUGAGAAGCAGUUAGCCAUAAUCUGCAAAUGAGAAAGCUUCUCUAUACUCCUGCAAGAAGAAAAGCCUGUCAAGAGAAGGCAAUUUUGUUUCUUUGCUGUGCCAAAUCAGUAAAGCAUAGCUGCUGCCCUGAAGCCUAACGGUGGUCUCUCACCUACUCGUCUGGCUCUUGGCCGCAAAUCUAGGUGGCAAACUCUCCAUUUCUGUAGAAGGGGGGCUGCCAUUAAAUGGUAACUUUAACGUGCUGAAUACUUUUUGGUAAAUUAUGUGCAUUUACAGCAUGUUUUUAUUUUACAUGUUGUCCAGUAUCUGCAGGAGCUGACUGACAGAGAAUGUUAGGCAAAAGCUAUUAAGACAGUGGGCCUUCAGUCAAGGCCAGGGAGGACGACCCACCUCCUGUUCAAGAGCUCUGCCAGCCUUCAUUUCUAUGGCUUCCUCCAUUCAAAGAACUCCAAAUACUUCACAAAUGCUAAUUUAACCUCCUGACUUCACUGUGUGGAAGAUGUAAAAGAAGAACCUCGGUCUUACAGGCUUCAUUCACAACCAAUGGUCUGAAUUACAAGUGUAAGACCUUGCACAGAGGCUCUGUACGAAUGACCUGAUUCUUCUGAGACAGAGUGGGGUUAAGGAAGACAGAAGUCUUCAUGAAAAUCAAGCACAUUAUGAUUCAAAAUCCCUCACAAAUGCAGGAAUCUGAAGAACCUGGAUACAAUAAUGGUUUUUUUAUUACCGUUUUGUCAUUCGCAUUGCUGCAGAGGUUUCUCAAAACUUUCAGAAAUUUCUCUAUUCAUGGGUCUGGAAGUCAGGUUUAAUUAUAACCUUUGCUGUCAACCCUGGCACACAAAGGUAUAUACAAAUAAAAACUCUCUCUGAAAAUCACUGAGCCAUCUUUAAGUUUUGCAUUGAAGUUUCGUGAUUUUGGACAAUCGGAUGAGGUGGAUUCUUCACAACUGCUAAGCACUGAGAGUCCAUAAACUUGGUUCUGGCUCAUGUUCAAUCCACAACAAGAAGAAACUUCUUGUGGUAUUUUAGGGGAAAAUUAUACAGCUGAGAUAUCUGUUCAAGUGCAUAUACAUCUUCAGGUUGUGUUUUCUUUAAACCAAGGAUAAUUAAG